rnacentral:sRNA from 1 species
CGUCACCCUGAGACGGGCGGCGGCGGGAUGGCAACAGCCUCCGGGGCCUCGGACUUGUCUGGCUCCGGAGCGCCCCCGCCCGGUGUGGGAGCUCAGGCGGCGGCGGCCGCUGAGGAGGAGGAGCGAGAGGUGGUGCGGGUCCGAGUCAAGAAAUGUGAGAGCGUCUUGCCGCCAGAGUUCCGCUCUUUUGCUGUAGAUCCCCAGAUCACCUCGCUCGACGUGUUGCAGCACAUCCUCAUCCGAGCCUUUGAUUUGAGUGGGCCCAUUGCUAGAAGACUGGGACAUAAUCAGCCCCAAAGAUGUCAUUGGCUCCGACGUGUUGCUGGCUGAGAAACGGUCAUCACUGACGACUGCCGCCCUGCCCUUUACACAGUCCAUCCUCACUCAGGUGUUUUCAGGGACCCUGGGGACCCAGCUGUGGUUGGAGGGCAGAGCCUUCCUGGCACCCUGGUUCUGAGCAUGCUGGUUGGCAUCUGCCCCUAGUCCACACAGCUGAUGGUGGCCUCCCUCCCUCCUCAUAGGUGGGCCGUACCUUGUCUAAGGUCCAACAAGUGCUGAGCUGGUCGUAUGGGGAAGAUGUCAAGCCCUUCAAGCCACCCCUGAGCGAUGCUGAGUUUCACACGUACCUGAACCACGAGGGCCAGCUCUCCCGACCCGAGGAGUUGCGCCUGCGGAUCUAUCAUGGCGGUGUGGAGCCCUCGCUGCGAAAGGUGGUGUGGCGGUACCUGCUGAACGUGUAUCCAGAUGGACUGACAGGCCGAGAGCGGAUGGACUACAUGAAACGCAAGAGCCGCGAGUAUGAGCAGCUCAAGAGCGAGU